UCUCCACCAUCGGUUUCUCUCCCCCAAAUCUCAUUUCUUUUUUAAUUGAAAUCCCUAAAACUCUUCUCGGCUUUCUCCGUCGCCGCUCUUCUCCGGCGAUCGCAGCACCGUCGCCGGACACUCCGUCGAGCUUUCUCUUUAUCGAACUCCCUCUUCUUUUGACAGAGACGGAACCUCUCUCCACCUCUCGCCUCCUCCAGCGAUCUCGCCGACGGGGAAGAAGGCGUCGCCUUUCCCCUCCGCCGGUUCCUCUCACUCUCGCUCGGAGAGCUCACGGCACCGCCGCCGACGUUGCUCGCCGUCCGCCGCUCGCCGAAUCUCCGUCGCUGCUGCCAGCUCCAUGCAUUAGCUCUCUGCGUCGAGCUUUCCCUCCGGCAAGCAGCACUGCUGCGUGCGCUCUCCCCGGCUCCCUCCGACGAGAUCUCCGUCGUCGCUCGACCAUUGUCGGACAGCUUCUCGAUCAGCCUAAAGCUAAGUUCUUUAACUUCCAUUAUCUAGUUAGUAUCUUGAGUUCCUCUUUGGGCAGUAGCUUUGUGGUAUUAAAGUCUCUUGAAAUUGAUUGUUGGUGAAACCUUGGUGCAUCUUUUGUCAUUGAAUUAGCUAAGGCAGCUUAUGAUCGAUUCUUAUUUUAUCUUGUGAUGAAAGAUCUUUAAAGCUCUAAGUUCUUGAGCUUAACAUGGAAAUUCUAUUCUUUGCUACUGUUGAGGCUUCUAAAUUUUCUAAGUUCCUGCCUAAUCAUGUGAUUCUAUCAUGAUGCAGAGGAUGGUGUUGGGGUGUUGAGGUAUUUACCUCACUCGGUGGAUCCUCGGUUUAUGCGGCUGUUCCUCCUUGUUGCCGCUGCCUCUCCUUGCCUUCUUGCUCCUCCCAUUUCCUUGCUGCACUCCUUGAUUUUGAGUGAAUUUGUGGUGUCUAAAGGAGAGGGGAGGGGAAGGGUAUGGGGUUGCUUAUAUAGGCCUCUUGUGUUGGAAACUUGGGGACAAAGACUCCCAUAUUUGGCUGCCAGCUCCAUCUCUUUCUUGGGAUCAUAUUUCUUUACUUAAUUUGUGCAAGUCUUGGGGGCAAAGGCUCCUAUUUUUGGGGCUGCCAGCUUGUCUCUUCCUUGUGUUUAUACAAUUGUAUACCAUUUUGGUGAUCCUUGGUGUUAUUGGUUGUCAAAUUUGGAGUCUUAUGGGAUGCCAAAUUCGAGAAGGAUGGGGAAGAGAAGAGAGUAGAGUAUAAGAUCUUGUACCGUAGAAAUGUAGCUUUGAAAGGAAUCUUACUUGUAGCUCGGAAUCUUACUUGUAGCUCCAUGUAUCCACGUUGUAUAGCAUGUGUUGUACUUUGUACUACUUUAUUCUCUUUUCCUUCUUCCAAUAAUUGUAGUUUACAAACUUAAA